CGCUAUUUAUCACACAAACUCUCCACUCCUUCAAGUUAUUUAUCACACCAGUUAUUAAAGAAGCAUUAAAGUGUCAUCAACUUUUGAUGAGCAAAUCCCAAAAGUCUGAAUUAGAAAAAACAAUACGAUUCCUUACUUCUGAAGCGUUUAGUCUACAGAACAGAAGGUAUAUGCACUCAAAGAGAGUGUUACGGCUAAAAAACGAGUGCUAAACCAUGUCAUUUUCAAAAGAUAAUCGUGGUUAUGAAUAUACGUAUGGAGUUCCAGCAAUAAUAACAUUGGCGGGCUUGAUUACAAUAAUAUUUCUACUGUUUCAACUUUAUAAAAUGGUGCCGAAAUGGGCCGCCAAAAGACUUGUCCAAAAAAUAGUUGGUUUAUUUCCCCGUGUGCCCUAUGCCGAGGUAGAGCGUAUAGGCUUCAGCAGCACUUCCUGUCAGAUAUGUUUGUCUGACUUCGAACCAACGGAGCGAGUCCGGAUGCUUCCGUGCACUCACUUGUACCAUUGUGGGUGUAUUUCAACUUGGAUGAGUCGUCAGAUCAAAUGCCCGACUUGUCGUCGCGACUACAACAAUAUCGUGACUCAAUAGUAUUUUAGGAUUGCAAAUGAUUUUUUUGUUGGUAAUGUAAUAAUUAAUACGGCGAUACUGUACUAUGUAUAAUUUGUAAUAUUGUUACAGAGUUAAAAUAUAUAUAAAAAAAAAACUAUGUACUAGAAUAUAAUUGUGUGUAUUUUUACUUUUUUAGAAGAGUGACAUUAUUGUUAUUAUUAUUAAAAUUAAAAUCAAAA